UUUUUGCCAUCUUCUUCUCUGUUCUCAUUUGCCUCUUUUGACGGAACAUCUUAUUGUUUCGAGGGGUUGUUGUUCAGUUUCAAGAUUUCUUGCUUUUUUGUUUACUUUGGUUGAUAUAAUCAUCUAGAUUGAUUGUUGUUUAUGUAAAAUUUCAGUUACAAUGACCAAGUUUUGAACCCUAACAAGAAGGACAUCAGCAAGGAAAAACUCCCCAGAAACUGUUAUUUUCAUUCAUUUCUCGAUCAUAUUUCCUUUUUCUUAGAAUUGAUAAGACUAAUUGUUGUUCCCUGCAUUUAGUGGGGGAAAUUUCGACGACAGAUUUGAGCCUUAACUAUUUUUAUUUUUUAAGAAAAUCAUAAAAUGCCUUUUCUUCUCUGAUCUUGCUGAAACAUGAUUGCAUCAAUGACAUAAACCUCAUCAGGACGAGUUAACCAGUAUGAAACUUGGUUACAAAAUCUAUAAGUUAAUUUAAUACUUGCAUGAUAAUUGUAAUGUAAUUUCUUGCCUUGUUUAUAAACAUGGUAAAUUCGAUUACUGGUUUCCAACCACUUAGAUUAGAUCAUGGAAGAACCUUAGCUCUUCUCCAUCGUGAAUAUUUGACAUCAAUUUUGCAUUAUAUCAAAUCUGAAAUAACUUGUAUGCAGAGAAGAGAACCCAUAAACAUCCUACCACUAUUGCUUGAAGAAUGUUAAUUUCAUAUCUGAAUUUGCUUUGCUUGUUACUUCAUAAUGAAUUGUUUGUUAGGAGCAAUCUUAUUGAUGAGUUUAUCUACCAAAAUGAGUUGAUUUAUGUUCUCACUUGGAAACUUGCAAUCAGGUUUUAGAAUGGCAGUGAGCAACACGAGUUUGUGUAGCUGACUCACUUUUGCUGGCAGUGAACCACUCAACAAGUUAUUAGAUAUGGAUAAAAUCAGUGUAAAAGACCCAUUAUAUGUUUAAUCAUGGUGCCACUAAGGUUAUUGCUUCAUUUAUGAUGCACCAUUAGUGUAUCAAAAGCUUUCAUCAAGUAUGAAGCUUGUAAUUUUAUUUUCCACUCCCCAUUCACUUUUUCGAAUCAUCCAGCAAUAGUAAUGGCGCAGCAAUUAUGUUUUUGGUUUACACGGUAACAUUGAGCAUUCAUACCACUGCUAUAGCAUCCUAGCUUCAUACAGGUUUAUGUUUGUUGCUUGGUAGUCUCUCAUUUUUGUUUUUAAUAGGUAAGAGGUAAGCCUAACCUCUCAUCUAAUAAAUAUUAGGAAGCUUUCGCUUGAGGGCAUUUGACAG
rnacentral:lncRNA from 1 species